rnacentral:rRNA from 1 species
UACGUAGGGUGCAAGCGUUGUCCGGAAUUAUUGGGCGUAAAGAGCUCGUAGGCGGUUUGUCGCGUCUGCUGUGAAAUCCCGAGGCUCAACCUCGGGCUUGCAGUGGGUACGGGCAGACUAGAGUGCGGUAGGGGGAGAUUGGAAUUCCUGGUGUAGCGGUGGAAUGCGCAGAUAUCAGGAGGAACACCGAUGGCGAAGGCAGGUCUCUGGGCCGAUACUGACGCUGAGGAGCGAAAGCGUGGGGAGCGAACAGG